AUAAGUUAAAACUUGAUUUUGAGGAAGAUGCGGAAAGUAUAAUUGGCAUGGAGAACGUUCUGAGCAGUGAAAGAACCCCUUCUCGUAGUUUUCCAUCAAUUGAUGAGGAAAUAGUUGGUUUUGAGGAAGAUGCGGAAAGUAUAAUUGGCAUGGAGAACGUUCUGAGCAGUGAAAGAACCCCUUCUCGUAGUUUUCCAUCAAUUGAUGAGGAAAUAGUUGGUUUUGAGGAAGAUGCGGAAAGUAUAAUACAGAAAUUGACUGGAUGUACCGAGGAACUAGACGUUGUCUCGAUUGUUGGAAUGCCUGGACUAGGCAAAACAACUUUG
rnacentral:lncRNA from 1 species